CCCAGCCUCACUUUGCGGUGCGCGAGGGAGCUGAGCAGUCAGCUCAUGGGAAGUGCUCCCUCGCCGGCCGUCCGCCCGGGAUGUCAGUUAGCCGCAAGGCUAACAAGGCAUCUGCCCUGGGCAUUUGGGGGGCGGCGUUUUUUGCCGCCCCCUGAAAAAUGCCGCCCAAGGCAAAUGCCUUGUUUGCCUCGCGGCUAAUACGUCCCUGGCGCUACCAACAAACUAGAUAACAUUUCUUCUUGACCCAGUAUGGCAGUCGGAUAUCUCCUUGGAUCAAGAAGCUAUUGCCCCACUAAUUAACUAAUGCACUAGUGCAUUGCCCCACUAAUUACUUCCCUGUAUAUUAUGUUUUUCCAAGUAUUUAUCCAAUUGCUGUUUAAACAUCUGUACAGACUCCUAAAAAAAACACCUCUUUAGGCAGAGAUUUUCCCAUCCGUAUUGUUCUUACUGUAAAUAAAAACUUUCCUUUGCCUUGGACUAAAUUUCCUUUCUUCUAGUCUAAAUGUGUGAACUUGUGUCCUGUUUAUGAAUAGAUUUCCAGACCAUGGUUUGUAUUGACCCCGAAGAUAUUUGCAUAAUGUUAUUACUACUCUCUGCUGCGUUCGUGGGAUCUGAGCACUUUCGGGAUAUGUUGGGCGCUUAGACCCAGAAUAUCUGGGGAUAUAGAACUUGAAGGGAUAUCUCACUGUUAAAUAUAUAUUUUGAGGUAUUUUUAUUAUGCUUGUCCUGGACCUUAUGUUGCUGUCCCCUUUCAGGUCCAGUGGGGAAUACCCUGGAAUGUGUCACCAAAAAUCUCUUGCAUGGGAACUUGCAUAAAAGGCCAGCUGUGGCUCCCAUUAAAGCAGUUCCAGUUUUACCCUCAACACAGAGCCUCGUCUCGUGUCUGUAGGGAACAGCUAUAACAGCUAUUUCACUAUGUUUUAGGAUUAUCGCAUCCAGGAUUAUUGCAGCUCUACUCACACUGGUGGGAAUAGAACAUCUCUGGCUGUGAAACCCCUCUUCCCAUCGGGGUGUCCGCCACAGGGGGGUCGGCCACUACCCCAGCACCAGGUGCAUCUGAUGCAGCAAGCCGCAGACAUGGACGUGUAUUACAAGCACUAAAGCACCCCAAAUACUGAUCAGUUAGGCGUGGUAUACUUCAGAAUUAUCAGCAGGUAAGGCAGAAGUAUUGAAUUUAGGUAAGUCCAAUGAAAGAGCUUAUUUAUUGUCCUCGCCACCAGGAUCUACACAAAAGCAUGUCCGGUCAUC